CUGGUGUGGAAUGUGGCAGGUGUAGAAUGUGGCAGGUGUAGAAUUUGUCUGGUUUAGAAUGUGGCAGGUGUAGAAUGUAUCUGGUGUUGUGUGUGGCAGGUGUAGAAUGUGUCUCGUGUAGAAUGUGGCAGGUGUAAAUGUGUCAGGUGUAGAAUGUGUCAGGUUUAGAAUGUGUCAGGUGUAAAAUGUGUCAGGUGUAGAAUGUGGCAGGUUUAGAAUGUGUCUGGUGUAGAAUGUGUCUCGUUUAGAAUGUGUCUCGUUUAGAAUAUGUCUCGUUUAGAAUGUGUCAGGUUUAGAAUGUGUCUCGUUUAGAAUGUGGCAGGUGUAGAAUGUGUCUGGUGUAGAAUGUGGCAGGUGUCGAAUGUGUCUGGUGUAGAAUGUGGCAGGUGUAGAAUGUGGCAGGUGUAGAAUGUGGCAGGUGUAGAAUGUGGCAGGUUUAGAAUGUGGCAGGUGUAGAAUGUGUCUGGUGUAGAAUGUGUCUGGUUUAGAAUGUGUCUGGUUUAGAAUGUGUCUGGUGUAGAAUGUGUCUCGUUUAGAAUGUGUCUCGUUUAGAAUGUGUCCCGUUUAGAAUGUGGCAGGUUUAGAAUGUGGCAGGUGUAGAAUGUGUCAGGUGUAGAAUGUGUCAGGUGUAGAAUGUUUCAGGUUUAGAAUGUGGCAGGUGUAGAAUGUGUCUGGUUUAGAAUGUGGUAGGUUUAGAAUGUGUCUGGUGUGUCUGGUUUAGAAUGUGUCGGCUUCAGAAUGUGUCUGGUUCAGCAUGUGUCUGGUGUAGAAUGUGGCAGGUGUCGAAUGUGUCUGGUGUAGAAUGUGGCAGGUGUAGAAUGUGGCAGGUGUAGAAUGUGGCAGGUGUAGAAUGUGGCAGGUUUAGAAUGUGGCAGGUGUAGAAUGUGUCUGGUGUAGAAUGUGUCUGGUUUAGAAUGUGUCUGGUUUAGAAUGUGUCUGGUGUAGAAUGUGUCUCGUUUAGAAUGUGUCUCGUUUAGAAUGUGUCCCGUUUAGAAUGUGGCAGGUUUAGAAUGUGGCAGGUGUAGAAUGUGUCAGGUGUAGAAUGUGUCAGGUGUAGAAUGUUUCAGGUUUAGAAUGUGGCAGGUGUAGAAUGUGUCUGGUUUAGAAUGUGGUAGGUUUAGAAUGUGUCUGGUGUGUCUGGUUUAGAAUGUGUCGGCUUCAGAAUGUGUCUGGUUCAGCAUGUGUCUGGUUCAGAAUGUG
rnacentral:lncRNA from 13 species